rnacentral:lncRNA from 1 species
AAAAAACCCCUGUAUCUGGGGUUGUAAAGGGACGAAAGGGCAAGAGCACUAGCUGCAGUGGAGCCACUGGUUAUGGGACAUCCAACUGCUUGGCAUUUCUUGAUGAUUGAAUUGGCGUGCCUGUUAUUAACGAGAUGAAUGGCGCUGUGAUCUCUAGCUGCAGCGUUCUUUGAAAAGUCCUUUGGUUGAGGGAACAGUCGUGUCCAUAGCAGUCAAGAGCCUCCGAGCACCUGCAGCUGCGAUGCCAGUAUUGUAGAGUCCCACCCGGAAUGCCAUGUUGGGAGUAGCAGUCUGUCGUCCAGGUCCAUUUUGAGGUAUUUCGGUGUAAAGUUUUUGUCUCUGUGUUGUGAAUCCACAUUUUUGGCAGUACAUUGCUUCAGAUACGGCUAAACCUCUGCACUCCUCUGCCUCUGU